AUAAGCACUCAUUGGCUGCAAUUGGAUACAUUGACAAGAAGUGACACUGUAUUUUCUUUUCUUUUUUUUUUAGUAUUUUCUGGGAAUUUUACAAGAAUUCCACAAAAAAUAUAUUUUUUGUAAGUUGAGAUUAUUCUUUUUAUGCUCUGCACAGUGGUUCCAAAUGAACCUUUUGAUCAAUAUUUUGACAGUCCUGACAUAUA
rnacentral:ribozyme from 1 species